AUGGAUGAACGAAAUUAAUUCUGUUUCUGAUAUAUUUAUAUAAUUUAAUAUUUUAGUGAAGAAGCUAUAAUUUUAUUAAAAGACAGUGAGACCCUUAGAGCUAUUAUUUAUAUUUAAUUUAAUUUAUAUAAAUUAAAUUUUGACUGGGGUGGUUUUGGAAUAUUUUUAACUUCCAAUAGUUAUAUGAUUUUUAUAUCUAUAAAUUUGAUCUUUUAUAAGUUUAAGAUUAGUUACCUAAGGGAUAACAGAUUAAUUUUUUUGUAGAGUUCUUAUUGAUAAAAAAGAUUAAUACCUCGAUGUUGGCUUAGAAUUACCUUUAGAUGAAGAAGUUUAUAAGGUUGGUUUGUUCAACCAUUAAAAUUUU
rnacentral:rRNA from 1 species